UCUACGGCCAGGCCAGGCGCGUGUUUUCUCAUGGAAAUCGGUUUUCGCGCGCGCCACCAAAUUUCCUUCUCAUGGAAAUCGCGACUGUUACGGAGAAACGCUUGGGAAUGGUCUGCGAACGAUACGGAAAUGUAGGCGUCCUAUUGUCGUCUUCCGUUUGAAUGCAACAUCGAGAAACAACGCUGUCUCUUCGACGAAACGUGGCAGAAAAUGCGAAGCGCAGCUGCACAUGUUUCGAAGCUUCUUAAUCUUCGUUUUCUGGUGGCGUUCGCUAUAUCUGUGACGACGUCUCGAUGUAUCGAUACGAUGUAUGCACACGCUCGACGAGAAACGAGGCGCUCGAAGAAAAGCUCCUCCCUCUUAUGAAAUGUGCCUCCGACCCACUUGAAUUUCGACUUGACUCCUCGAUCAUCGGUUAUCCGCAUAUAAAUUACACUAGUGACAGUGACACCGCAAUACCUAUGAUAAAUAAAUAGAUCACCAGUA